rnacentral:lncRNA from 9 species
GUGGUCUUGGAACAGCGCGUUCCCACCGCACCUCUGCCUGCAGCAGCCAGCCUGUGUCCUGGCUCUUCAGGUCCAGUUGGGUCACGAGGCUCUAAACUCAGCUCCUGGCUGUCCCAAAGCAGCACCAGCAUGCCUGGUCCCCAGUCUCCAAGAGCACCCCCAAGGGAGAGCUGGGCCCGUGUCCCUGCUCCCGAGAGCGUGCUCGGGAGCCUGGCUCAGCACGGCCCCUCCGCACCCACCGCGGGACUGGGCAAGAUUUUCCGGAGGGCGUGGCCACGCGCCAGGAAAAGCCUGGCUCCGGCAGCAUCUCUCCGACAGCUGCAUGUGCAGCUGAACCUGCCCAACCAGCAGAGUGAGCCUAUCCUCCACAGCCCAGUGGUGCUGACCCAGGGCCCCAAGACCAAGGAGAGGCACCUCCUCCUCUUCAGGGACUGGCUAGUCAUUGCUAAAGAGAGGUAAGUCACAAGACUGUCGCUGUCUUCCUCUUUGUUUAAAGGCGCUUUGUUUUCAAAUCCCCUCUGCCUGACAACACCACAAGGAGAGCUUCAUUUGACAAAUGCUACCUCAGCAGCAUCACACAUGGAGCAGUAGCAAACUAGGACAAUAAUAAGAGUAUAGGAGAACCAUCAUUUAAAAGGAAAUCUAACAUGAACUUGAUCUUUUGGGUUGCUAAAAAGUGUAUACUGUGUUCACAGCAACAACUUUGAAAUCAGCAGUUUAGAAACUCAGUAAUUGAGUUAACGUUAACUACCAUGAUAAUCAUUUUUUCUCUUUAGGAAAAUAGGCAAUUGCACUUCUUCAACAUUUGCAUUGGGGAGGCAAUGUCCAAAGAAGUACACUAAUCGUUUUCUGGCUUGUAGAACAGCUCUACGCUUGCAGUGUCUCUGGAUUUCUCUCCCAGUCCCUAGAACAUACACUGCCCUAGGCAGAGAGGGAAGGAGAAAGACCAGGUGGCCUCUACCCUGCUCCCCAGGUGACGCCCUCUCCCUCCACCCUCCCCCUUGCAACAACAGAUAUAUUAGCUGUGCCCAAAUGAGAAAUGGGACCAAGGGUCACCCACCAAUGAGGUAAAUCCCUUCAUCUUCUCUGGGAAGUGGGGGAGGGGUGCCCAAGAGGCCGUGAGUGUGUGAAGAUGACCCCCAGCAGAGGGGAAGAUGAUCGCUGGGCCAGUGCGGGGUAGGCCACCUAGCAGGCAGCAUCUCACCCCUUGUCACCUCCCUGCCCCACACUCCUCUCCUUUCAUUUUUUUUUUUUAAGGGGGAGGGGUGGAGGUCCUCUCCUCCUUCCAGAGAACCAGCUUAAAGGGAAUAAAAAACAGUCUCUUCUCAGGAGAGGGGUCCCUGGCCUCAUGCAGUUUCCAAGGCUGCCGCUCAAACAAGGAGCAGUGACAGGAGACACUUGGCCAGGCCACCAGUUGGCUUUGGCUACCAAAGAAUGUGUGAUUUUGGGAGUUCCCGUCAUGGCUCGGUGGUUAAUGAAUCCGACUACGAACCUUGAGGUUGUGGGUUCGAUCCCUGGCCUUGCUCAGGGGGUUAAGGAUCUGGCGUUGCCGUGAGCCAUGGUGUAGGUUGCAGACUUGGCUCAGAUCCCGUGUUGCUGUGGCUCUGUUGUAGGCCAGUGGCUAUAGCUCUGAUUCAGCCUCUAGCCUGGGAACCUCCAUAUGCCGCAGGAACAGCUCAAGAAAUAGCAAAAAGAAAAAAAAAAAAAAAAAAAAAAAAGAAAGUCUGAUUCUGAAUGAAGGGCACAGUGCCCCAGAGGACAGGACACAGAGCAGCAGGGAGUGUGAGCCCCUGACCACGAACACACCUGAGUUCCGGUUAGAAUCCCAGGGCAGUGACUAGAUGGAAGAGUCCCGUUGGGAGCUGGUUAGGGCUGGUCUUCUGCAAAUGAGCUGAGCCAAGUCGGCUUCUGAGUUCUUUAUUGCCACAGCAAGAUUCCGAGCACACUAGACCAGAGUGUGUCACUAAGCCUGGGUGCCUGGGGAACACCCGUCCCACUCUGCACACUUUCCUGAUGGAGCACCUCCCGAGCACGCCACACACAUCAGCUUGCUUAGGCCUCACAACCCAUUUCACAGAUGAGGAAGGUAAAGCUCGGAGAGGUUGAAUGCUUGCUCCAAGUUCACCAAGAGGAAGCGGCAGAAGCAGUUUUAAAACUUGCAGCCUGUUUCUCCAAGGGCAGCCCUCUUCCCACUCCCCCCACCCCGGGGGGUGCCCUCUGACCCUGAGGGAAGCUCUCGGACCUAAGCCACACUCCCCAGGGGCAUGUCGUGCACAGCAAACAGGAUUCUGUGUAUUUUUCAGGGAAUAAACGGGCACGGGAAAUGUGUGACAGGCUUCCACAAAUUUCACACUGGCCAAGAAAAGCUGGGGUGGGGUGGUAAACACGGACACCAGAGGCGUGUGGGAUUCGUCAGGGAAACGGUCGGGCCCUCUGGGGCAAAGUUCUGAUGUCUCUGGUCAGCAGCCAGGUCUUGGUGGAAACGAUUUAAGGAAAGACACAGGGCAGUGGCUACAGCAGUGGGGAGAAGGCCCUCCUUUGCAUGGAUGAUGAUUGAGGGGGUGGGGGCUUGUGCCUCUGUUUUCUAGAAAGAAAAACAUUUACAAUUUUUUUUGAUAUAUUUUCACUUAAUUUCCCUUGAAAAGGUCUAUUUUAAGCUUUGGGGGGAAAAUGUGCCCCGUUUUAAAGAACUUCUGACACCUACCC